rnacentral:rRNA from 1 species
CCUACGGGAGGCAGCAGUGGGGAAUAUUGCACAAUGGGGGAAACCCUGAUGCAGCGACGCCGCGUGAGUGAAGAAGUAUUUCGGUAUGUAAAGCUCUAUCAGCAGGGAAGAAGCAAGCCGGUACCUGACUAAAAAGCCCCGGCAAACUACGUGCAAGCAGCCGCGGUAAUAGUUAGGGGGCAAGCGUUAUCCGGAUUUACUGGGUGUAAAGGGUGCGUAGGCGGUAUGGCAAGUCUGAAGUGAAAGCCCAGGGCUUAACCCUGGGACUGCAUUGGAAACUGUUAGACUAGAGUGCUGGAGAGGUAAGUGGAAUUCUUAGUGUAGCGGUGAAAUGCGUAGAUAUUAGGAGGAACACCAGUGGCGAAGGCGGCUUACUGGACAGUAACUGACGUUGAGGCUCGAAAGCGUGGGGAGCAAACAGGAUUAGAUACCCGAGUAGUC